rnacentral:lncRNA from 1 species
AGAGGCUCCCUGAUGCCACCCCAUCUCUCUCUCUCUCUCUCUCUCUCUCUCUCUCUCUCUCUCUCUCUCUCUCUCUCUCUCUCUCUCUUUCUCUCCUCUCUCUCUCUCUCUCUCACACACACACACACUUGCCCACGCACAUGUCCUCUCUCCAAUAAGACCUCUGGACACCUGGCAGUGUGGUCACUCAGAACAGACAAGGGUUAUUUUUAGAGGGUAAGUGACAGGACCCGGGUGAGACAGUGCCGUCAGAGCUGCUGCUGCCCCACCAGCUCUGAUGAAUCACUCUCCACUACGUGAAUGGUCCAGUCUGUCAGCCUGGCUAGGAAGGCCGUACCAGCUCGGAUGCAUGUCUAGGAUUGGUGACCACACUGAUCACACCAGACUGAGCACAGGAUCACACCAGGGACAAGACUGCCAGGCUGAGGCAGCACAGCCAGCCCAGACCAACAGCUCAGCACCCCUGCCCUGACCAGCAGUCAGGCCAACAGGGUCCAACCACAUGGCCUACCAGCUGAGCUCCCAGUUGCUGCACCACCAUCCUGUGGCCAGAAUCCCACCAAGCCCAUCUGGGGCCGUGUGCCCUGCUUCUCCACACCAACUCAUCGUUCCUCCCAGCUCUGGCAACGGGUCCUUGCUGCCUCGUCAGGUCUCCUAGCAACGAGCCAUCCUUCAGCACCACUCUUUCCACCUCUGGGCUCUUCCAGCUCAGGCCUGUCUCUCCAAGGGAGAGGACAGCUGGCCGACUCCUGUCGUGGGGGUUAUGGUACCCACACAUGGCAGGGGGAUGGGAGGCAAGAAAUGGAACCAACCUGCGCAGCCCCCACUCUAGGCCUGCUCCCAGCUCCACAUGUGGGGCACUGGCUUCGGCCACAACAACCUUUUCUUGAGCUUCUGACAAUCUACCUGCUGACUGAGACAAAAAAAUGAGCCAAAUCCUAGGGUGUGAAUUCUAGUCAAUUGCAAUUUCUUUUUCUACUCUUUAAAUACGUGGAUUUUCCCCACCACAAUACUUGAUAUUCAAAAUAAUAAUAAUAAAACUGUUAGCAACAAUAAAAUUUCCAUUAUUUUUAUUCAGUGCUCACAACCAUGCCUGUGAAACAGACACUAGUUUUCCCAUUUUAUAGAUAAUCAAACUGAGCCCUAACUUGCCUAAAGACACCUGGGUAAUAAAGGAUUUGAACCAGUAUGUCUGACACCAACGCGUAGGUCCUGACAAGUGCGUUUCUUAGAAAUCAUCUGGUCCUACUCCCUUACUAUACAGAUG